AAAAAAAAGAGCUCACCUAAUUGAAGCAAUUUGAAAAUUUUCUUAAUAAAAUAAUGUGCCAAAAGAAAUUAGUGAAAUAACUAAUAAAAUGAACAUGCAAUUAUCCAGAAAAUGGUGUAUGAAAAAUUCUAGUACUUGAUGCCAUAUUGUAACAUUAAACAUAAAAUUAUGUUAACAAUACACACCAAAAGAGAACUGAAUAAAAUGCUAAUCUGAGAAACUACUAAGAAAUGCCUUGAAAAAAACUGAAUAUUCUAGACUAGCUUAUAAAUCAUCAUCAGAAUUCCCAAUUCAAGUCCUUAACAUUUUUAUCUUGACCACCAGAUUGAUAGCCUUUACUUUCUUUUCGAUCUAUUUCAUCUGAAUUAUCAUAUCUUCAAAUACGGCCAUGAAAUUGAAGCUUUGGAAUUUGCACGAGACUUUUACUGCUUGAUUGAUUUGGCUUAGUUUCUUGGUGAUGCAGUCAAGAAGUCAAGGAAG
rnacentral:misc_RNA from 1 species